rnacentral:sRNA from 1 species
GGUAUUAGAUGAGAAACUAAAUUUUUCUGUUUAUCUACAGGCCAGGUACAUAGGGGGCGGACCCAGUGCCUUCAAGCUUUCCCACGCGGCGCCGCCCAUCUACCUAAACUCUGACUUGAAAGGACCGCUGACUGCCGGGGUGAGAGAAGCAAAUCCUUAUUCAGUCUCCCUUCCAUUACAGAGCCCUCUCAG